CCUACGGGUGGCUGCAGUAAGGAAUAUUGGACAAUGGUCGGAAGACUGAUCCAGCCAUGCCGCGUGAAGGACGAAGGCGCUCAGCGUUGUAAACUUCUUUUGGACGGGGAUAAUACUGUCGAUUUAUCGGCAAUUGAAGGUACCGUCAGAAUAAGCACCGGCUAACUCCGUGCCAGCAGCCGCGGUAAUACGGAGGGUGCAAGCGUUAUCCGGAAUCACUGGGUUUAAAGGGUGCGUAGGCGGCGAGGUAAGUCAGUUGUGAAAUCGCUGGGCUC
rnacentral:rRNA from 1 species